rnacentral:rRNA from 1 species
ACUGCAGUCGAGCGCGGGAAGCAGGCAGAUCCUCUUCGGAGGUGACGCUUGUGGAACGAGCGGCGGACGGGUGAGUAACACGUGGGCAACCUGCCUGUAAGAUUGGGAUAACCCCGGGAAACCGGGGCUAAUACCGGAUAAUACUUUUCGUUGCAUAACGAGAAGUUGAAAGGCGGCUUUUAGCUGUCACUUACAGAUGGGCCCGCGGCGCAUUAGCUAGUUGGUAAGGUAACGGCUUACCAAGGCGACGAUGCGUAGCCGACCUGAGAGGGUGAUCGGCCACACUGGGACUGAGACACGGCCCAGACUCCUACGGGAGGCAGCAGUAGGGAAUCUUCCGCAAUGGACGAAAGUCUGACGGAGCAACGCCGCGUGAGUGAUGAAGGUUUUCGGAUCGUAAAACUCUGUUGUCAGGGAAGAACAAGUGCCGUUCAAAUAGGGCGGCACCUUGACGGUACCUGACCAGAAAGCCCCGGCUAACUACGUGCCAGCAGCCGCGGUAAUACGUAGGGGGCAAGCGUUGUCCGGAAUUAUUGGGCGUAAAGCGCGCGCAGGCGGUCCUUUAAGUCUGAUGUGAAAGCCCACGGCUUAACCGUGGAGGGCCAUUGGAAACUGGAGGACUUGAGUACAGAAGAGGAGAGUGGAAUUCCACGUGUAGCGGUGAAAUGCGUAGAGAUGUGGAGGAACACCAGUGGCGAAGGCGACUCUCUGGUCUGUAACUGACGCUGAGGUGCGAAAGCGUGGGGAGCGAACAGGAUUAGAUACCCUGGUAGUCCACGCCGUAAACGAUGAGUGCUAGGUGUUAGGGGGUUUCCGCCCCUUAGUGCUGAAGUUAACGCAUUAAGCACUCCGCCUGGGGAGUACGGCCGCAAGGCUGAAACUCAAAAGAAUUGACGGGGGCCCGCACAAGCGGUGGAGCAUGUGGUUUAAUUCGAAGCNCNGCGAAANCCUUACCAGGUCUUGACUCCUCUGCCAUCCUAGAGAUAGGAUGUCC